rnacentral:lncRNA from 1 species
UGUGAGUUUUGCAAAAAUAAUAAGUAAAAGUUAAGAAAAAGAUAAUAAAAUAAAAGAAAUAAAAAACCAAAGGGUGUAUGUAUAAUUUUGACUGGUUUGUGCUAGUCUACCGUAGUUGCAGGACUUUAUAGUCUGUUAGUAUACUGGAACGCUAGCGACAGGAAGAAAACACCCCACGGUAAUUACAACUGGGUAAGAGCAAACCAGAUCUUGCGAAGUACAAUGUUUAAGUCUGAGAUUUUACUUAGGUUUAAAGCUGCUCCUUAACGGACUUUUUUCUUUCAACUACACAUUCUUUCGGUUAGCACAUAUGGCCAAAGACAGAACCAGAGCUAGCCCAUUUUAAAGGUGUUAACCAAGGCUAUUCGCA